CUACGGGGUGCAGCAGUGAGGAAUAUUGCACAAUGGAGGAAACUCUGAUGCAGCAACGCCGCGUGGAGGAUGACGCAUUUCGGUGUGUAAACUCCUUUUAUAUGUCAAGAAAAUGACGGUAGCAUAUGAAUAAGCACCGGCUAACUCCGUGCCAGCAGCCGCGGUAAUACGGAGGGUGCAAGCGUUACUCGGAAUCACUGGGCGUAAAGGACGCGUAGGCGGGAUAUCAAGUCAGGUGUGAAAUCCUACAGCUUAACUGUAGAACUGCACUUGAAACUGGUAACCUAGAGUAUGGGAGGGGGAGAUGGAAUUAGUGGUGUAGGGGUAAAAUCCGUAGAUAUCACUAGGAAUACCUAAAGCGAAGGCGAUCUCCUGGAACAUAACUGACGCUAAGGCGUGAAAGCGUGGGGAGCAAACAGGAUUAGAUACUCGCGUAGUC
rnacentral:rRNA from 1 species